rnacentral:rRNA from 1 species
UACGGAGGGUGCGAGCGUUGUUCGGAAUUACUGGGCGUAAAGAGCACGUAGGCGGGUCUGAAAGUCGAUUGUGAAAUCCCCGAGCUCAAUUCGGGAAUUGCAGUCGAAACUUCAAAUCUUGAAUACUCAAGAGGGUGAGGGAAUUCCUGGUGUAGAAGUGAAAUUCGUAGAUAUCAGGAGGAACACCGGAGGCGAAAGCGCUUGCCUGGUGAUGUAUUGACGCUGAGGUGCGAAAGCGCGGGGAGCAAACAGG